rnacentral:rRNA from 1 species
GAUGAACGCUGGCGGCGUGCCUAAUACAUGCAAGUCGAGCGAACGGACGAGAAGCUUGCUUCUCUGAUGUUAGCGGCGGACGGGUGAGUAACACGUGGAUAACCUACCUAUAAGACUGGGAUAACUUCGGGAAACCGGAGCUAAUACCGGAUGAUAUUUUGAACCGCAUGGUUCAAAAGUGAAAAAGGGCUUGCUUUCACCUAUAGAAGGAACCGGGCUGCAUUAGCUAGUUGGUAAGGUAACGGAUUACCAAGGCAACGAUGCAUAGCCGACCUGAGAGGGUGAUCGGCCACACUGGAACUGAGACACGGUCCAGACUCCUACGGGAGGCAGCAGUAGGGAAUCUUCCGCAAUGGGCGAAAGCCUGACGGAGCAACGCCGCGUGAGUGAUGAAGGUCUUCGGAUCGUAAAACUCUGUUAUUAGGGAAGAACAUAUGUGUAAGUAACUGUGCACAUCUUGACGGUACCUAAUCAGAAAGCCACGGCUAACUACGUG